rnacentral:rRNA from 1 species
GAUGAACGCUGGCGGCGUGCCUAAUACAUGCAAGUCGAGCGAACGGACGAUAAGCUUGCUUCUCUGAUGUUAGCGGCGGACGGGUGAGUAACACGUGGAUAACCUACCUAUAAGACUGGGAUAACUUCGUGAAACCGGAGCUACUACCGGAUAAUAUUUCGUACCGCAUGGUUCAAAAGUUAUAGACGGUCUUGCUGUCACUUAUAGAUGGAUCCGCGCUGCAUUAGCUAGUUGGUAAGGUAACGGCUUACCAAGGCAACGAUGCAUAGCCGACCUGAGAGGGUGAUCGGCCACACUGGAACUGAGACACGGUCCAGACUCCUACGGGAGGCAGCAGUAGGGAAUCUUCCGCAAUGGGCGAAAGCCUGACGGAGCAACGCCGCGUGAGUGAUGAAGGUCUUCGGAUCGUAAAACUCUGUUAUUAGGGAAGAACAGAUGUGUAAGUAACUGUGCACAUCUUGACGGUACCUAAUCAGAAAGCAACGGCUAACUACGUG